UGCUUUUCCUGCGUCCUGCUGGGAGCUGCGCGCUCCAGGUAUCCUGGCCUGCCGCCCUAGCCGGCCCAAGGAGCCACACAGGACAGUUGACCCAACACUUCUGCCACCUGAAGAACGACACCUGCAUUCCUCCAUCUCUGGGACCACCAAGGAACUCAGGGAGCUUGGAAUCUCUCAGAUCAAAAAGAUACUGACUCAUCGGAUAGCCAUGCCAUCCUGAAAACGGCCUUACUUUGAAGAAAAUGUGAGUGGGAAACAUGAAGAGUGAUGAAAUGAACAAGUUGAGUGACUCCCACCCUGUUGAAGAGAUUGAACUUCAUCCCCAGUUCCUGUGAAGCUUUCUGGAUCUCGUCUUCCAAGGUGAAGUGGAGGUUCUGGAUCCGAACGACCCUUUAGGACCCCUUGAUGGGCAGGACGGCCCGAUUCCAACUCUGAAAGGUUACUUUCUGAAUUUUCUGGAGCCAGUAAACAAUAUCACCAUUGUCCAAGGCCAGACGGCAAUUCUGCACUGCAAGGUGGCAGGAAACCCACCCCCUAACGUGCGGUGGCUAAAGAAUGAUGCCCCGGUGGUGCAGGAGCCGCGGCGGAUCAUCAUCCGGAAGACAGAAUAUGGUUCACGACUGCGAAUCCAGGACCUGGACACGACAGACACUGGCUACUACCA
rnacentral:sRNA from 1 species